rnacentral:tRNA from 1 species
AGGACACCGCCCUUUCACGGCGGUAACAGGGGUUCGAGUCCCCUAGGGGACGCCA